GACCCCCUAGCUCAGUGGUAGAGUAUGAGAUUCCAGUUCCGAGUGGUUGCGAUCGAUCCGUCCUCCAGCCAUUCUCUGGUAAUUCCUCAGGGUCAUCCGUUCAAUCCGGGUGGGGGUCA